CCCCUCUCUCUCUCUCUGAUCUUCCUUUAGUCUUUUGUCCUUUCUUCGUGUUUUUUUUUUAAUCCUAUCAAUUUUUUUCUAUUUAAUCUUCCUCCUGUUCUCUCUCUCUCUCUCUCUCUCUCUCUCUCUCUCUCUCUCUCUCUCUCUCUCUCUCUCUCUCUCUCAAUGUGGGAUAUGGGACUGACACAUGUGACCUACUUAAUUAACACACACACACACACACACACACACACACACACACACACACACACACACACACACACACACGUCCGCCCCUUCUCCCAUCCUGUCACCACCACCAUCACCACCACCUCCAUCUUCAUCACCACUCGUGUGUAUAGACUGAUGAGUAACCCUUUGUGUGUGUGUGUGUGUGUGUGUUGGUUGGUGAAAACUAUUAAUGAGGUAAUUCCGUUUUAAGUAGUGAAAAGUGUAUUGAGGUAGAUUAAGGUAAGGUAAGGUUAGUUAUGGUAAAGUAAGGUAGGUUAGCCAAAGAAAGGAAAGGGGAGGGAAAGAAAGGUAAGGUCUGGCUUCAUGUGGUUUGGUAAGGAAAGUUAGAGAAAGUUAGGUAAGGUACGGAAAGCUUAAGUUGGUCAGUAAAGGGGAGGGGAGGGAAGGGAAAGAAAGGGAAAGGAAGGGGAAGGGAAAGAAAGGUCAGGUUUGGUAAGGAAAGGGAAAGUUAGAGAAGGUUAGGUAAGGUAAGGAAAGGAGUGGGUAAGUAAAGGAAAGGGGGAGGAGAGGAGAGAAGAGGAGAGACGAGGGGAUGGAAGGUUAGGUUAGCUUAGGAGACGUUUUUGGAUAGGAAAGGGAAGGUUGGUGAAGGGAGAGUUAGGUAAGGGAAGCUUCUUAGGUCACUGUAGAUUUAGCUUACUUAGGGAAACCAGAAAUACUAAAAUUGGGGAAGGUCAAAUUCGCUUAGUAACUCGGGAUUUCGAAAGAGGAGCCAACCACACGUGAGGGCAGACAAACGUGGAGACAGAUCUUGCUCUACUACGAUCUACCCACUGCCUUCAAGAGCGUGAGUGAGCGGGACUGUCAGACUCAAGUGACGGGAGAUAAACGACAUGACUCAGCAGCGGGACAGACAGCAUUGUGUGGCAAGAGGCUGUUUUUCCUUACGUUUUGUUUAGAGUUGACUGACUGACACACACACACACACACACACACACACACACACAUAAACAAUCAACUGUGUGCUUAGUGAAUAACUGUGCCACUUUGCCUUUUUUUGUGUGUGUUUGUUUAAUUACGUAACUGGGUUUGGUUGGGGUGGGAGGAGAGGAUGGUGAAGUUCGGGGUCGUUGGGAGGGUUGGAAAUGGAGUGGCAGGGUUGGGGUGUGAGAAUGGGAUGAGGUUGGGGUGCACAGUUUGGGGGUGAGGUUGGGGGUUGCACAGUCUUGGGGUCAAAUUGGGGGGGGUCGAGUGUGGGAAGGGAGUUGGGGUGUGAGAAUUUGAUGAGGUUGGGGUGCACAGUUUGGGGGUGAGGUUGGGGGUUGCACAAUCUUGGGUUCAAAUUGGGGAGGUACAUGUGUGGGAAGGGAGUUGGUUAAAGGUUUGGGAGCUUGGGGUGAGGUUAGGAUGGAUUACAGAUGAGGUUGAUAGGGUGUGAAGAGGAGGGGUUGAGGGUAAAUUUGGAAGGGUUGCGGUGGGGGGGAUAGGUCAGAGGGGAAAAGAGGGUAAGGUCUGAUGGGUAAGGAAAAGCUAGAGGGGGGGGGGGAAGAUUAGGUAAGGGUUGAAGAGGUGAGAUUGGGGUAAGGUUGGAUGAGUAAGGAAAGCUAAAUGGGUAAGGUUUGAUGGGUAAGGAAAAGCUAGAGGGGGGGGGGGAGAUUAGGUAAAGGUUGAAGGGGUAAGAUUGGGGUAAGGUUGGAUGAGUAGGGAAAGCUAAAUGGGUAAGGUUUGACUGGGUAACAAUGACGGUAAAAUUGGAGGGGGGAGACUGGGGAAGACUGAGGUAGGGAUAGAUUAAGGGACUAUUACACUGGGCAAAUUUUCCGUGGAUCUUCAGUCAAACCACGAUUUCCGCUAGCGUGGUUGUCAUAUGUUUCUUGUUAUUGCUGCUGCUGCUGAUGAUGAUGGUGAGUAAUACCGUCGUACUUUUGUGAAAUCUACCAUAGCUUUGGAAUAUUGCGGACCCGCCAGAAAACCACGGAAAUAUGAGAACCACGCCAGCGGAAAUCGUAGUUUGACUGAAGAUCCACGGAAAAUUUGCCCAGUGAGAUAGCCCCUUAACCUGGUAGCUGCGGGGAUCAUGUUUCUUAAAGGUCCCUCUAAGCGAGAAAAUGAGAAAAAGUCAUCACUCACGCAAACCAUUUCAUAAUAUAUAUCAACGCAUUUGUGAUCAGUUUAUGCAUCAUCUGUUUUUGUGGGUUUAUAUCAUGGCAAAAAUGUGGCCCGUCGCUGCUACAUGGUAAAGCCACAAAUUUGGCCCGUCGCUGCUACCGGGUUAAGGGAGAGUUAGAGAUCGAGGUAAAAGAUGAAGGAGUGAAGACAUGUGGGGUGGUUGGUUGCUAUGAGGUUACGUCCUUGCUUAAAACUAAAUACAUGUUGUUUAUAAUGUUUUCUUAGCCUUAUUUGUAUGUACACUUGUUUGUUUACUUAGGCACUCACGCCGCUAAUGUGUCUUGCUAUUAUGAAGGUUGUUAUUUGUGUUUACUUGUUUAUAUACUUUGUUUAUUUACCGAAGAAGGGAAUGUUUUCGAAGAUGGAUAUAUACGUUUCAACAAAUCUCUCUCUUUUUCUCUCUCUCCCUUGCUCUCCCACCCUCUCUCUCUUUCUCUCCCCCACCACAAGUACCCACCGGACUCAAUUAUCUCUUCCUCCUCCUCCUUCUCCUCCUCCAACAUCCGUAGUUUAGAGUUCAUUGACCCGAAGAUCAAAGGGACGAAGAAGAGAUAAGAAAAGAAGAAAAACAGAUUGAAAUGUUGGUGUUGAUAUGUGAGGUAUGUUUUGAGGAUCACAGGAGGAGAAAGAAAGAAAGAAAGAGGUUAAGAGGAAUGAAGAUAAAAUGUGUGUUGCAGAAAUGAUUGAGAUUUCAUUGGUAUGUAAGUUGGUAUGUUUUGACGAUCACAAGAGAAAGAAAGAAAGAGGGUAAGAGGAAUGAAGAUAAAAUGUGUGUUGCAGAAGAGAUUGAAAUGUUAUUGGCAUGUAAGGUAUGUUUGAAUACGACUAAAAAAUAACAGAAGGAGGUUAAUAAAAAUAAAUAAAAAAAAAAAAGUGUUACAGAAGAGAUUGAAAUGUUAAUGGUUAUGCAGGUUAUGUUUUCUGAUACUGAAGAGGUUAAUGAAAAAAAAAUAUAUAUAAGGUUAAAGGGUAGGGAAAGAGGUAAGGUUAAAGGUAAAGACUAAUGGUAGAAAAUAGAUUAGAGCUUAAUGAUAAAAAAGAAAGGUUAAAGGUAAAGACUAAUGGUAGAAAAGAGAUUAGAGUUUAAUGAUAAAAAAUAAAGGUUAAUGUCAAAGAACAAGAAAAAGGUUAAUGGUUGAAUAUAAAAAGUUAAUGAUCCUGGAUGAAAGAAAACAAAAACAAAAGAAAAAUGAAAAUAGGAACCGAACAAAAAUAAUAAGAGAAAAGAAAAAAAAAAAAGGUUAACAAGAAAGAAUAUAAAAAUGUAAUACAAGAAACUAGUGAAAUGUAGAGUGUUACGCAAGUUUUGUACAAUAGAGAAAAAAGUUAGAUUAUUGAAAUAUUACUGGUUUGCGAGACGAGUGUACAGUAUGAAAAAUAGGGUCAAUAGGAAUGAGAAAA